ensembl:lncRNA
UUUUCUGUAAGUGAUCCUCCUCCACAAACAUGUUUUAAAUGUACACAAUCCAAAAUAGUACUGGGGAUUUAUAUAAGAUCUGGAAGUAAAAAUGAGUGGUCAAAGAGAUUCACAGUUCACAUCAGAUACCAUUAAGAGUUUUACCACCUCUAUACAUUUUGCAGCUCAAAAUUUGAGUCUUGCAGGACUCAAAAAUCCUGCUUGAAUGAACUGGAAAAUGGAAGGUGUUGUGUUUUAGCGAUCAUUAAGAAUUAACUGGGUGAGGAUCUGCAUUGGGGUAGCACUAAGUUUUUUAGCAUGAAAAAAAUUCAUAAUGCUUGUAUUCAUUCUAAGCAAUUCUUUACAAUAUAUCCUAUCACUAACAAAAUGGAAUUCACUCACUCUGAGUGGUAUUUGGUACCUUGAUGUAAACUGACAAUAUUCCAUUGUUCUCUAUGAAUUAUCUCCCUUAAAUAGUUAUUUACUUUCCUACUAAAGUCUAUUUACCCAAAUCAGACUGGGCUAGUUUCAUAAUAAAAGAAAGUCAUUUCUAUUUUAAUUAAUUAUAUUAUGAACCCUAAGAAACGCAUCACAGAAAAUUAUACAUUUUAAUAAAAUAAGUGGGUCCAAAAUGUCUUUAUAAUCUUAAUUAUCUUUACCUUUAGAGUAAUACCAAAUGUGACUAGUAAUUUUCAAACUUAAACUUGAUGUGUGUAUUUCUGCCUCAACCAAAUAGUCUAUGAAUCCAAAACAGGCUUCUAGAAAGUUACUUAAGUCUACAGAAAAUUCUAUUUUCUCUUUACACCAAGUGGAAAGAAAUCUAUUAUUGGAGUUCGCGUUGUGGUGCAGUGAUUAACGAAUCCGACUAGGAACCAUGAGGUUGCGGGUUUGAUCCCUAGCCUCGCUCAGUGGGUUAAAGGAUCCGACGUUGCCGUGAGCUGUGGUGUAGGUUGCAGACGUGCCUUGGAUCUGGCAUUGCUGUGGCUCUGGCAUAGGCCAGCGGCUACAGCUCCAAUUAGACCCUUAGCCUGGGAAUCUCCAUAUGCCGCGAGAGUGACCCUAGAAAAGGCAAAAAAAUAGAAACAAAAGUAAAUAAGUGGGAUAUAAUUAACCUUAAAAGCUUUUGCACAUCAAAGGAAACCAUCGACAAAAUGAAAAGACAACCUGCAGAAUGGCAGAAAAUAUUUGCAAAGGAUAUGACCAAUAAGGGGUUAAUAUCUAAAAUAUAUAAACAGCUCAUACAACUCAAUAUCAAAAAAACAAACAACCUAAUUAAAAAAUGAGCAGAAGACCUGAGUAUACAUUUUUCCAAAGAAGACAUACAGAUGGCUAAGAGCCACAUGAAAAUAUAUUUAACAGUGCUAAUCAUCAGAGAAAUGCAAAUCAACAUCAUAAUGAGACAUCACCUCAUACCUGUCAGAAUGGCUAUCCUCAAAAAGACCACAAAUAACAAAUGUUAGUGAAGAUGUGGAAAAAAGUGAACCCUG